GUGCCAGCAGCCGCGGUAAGACGAACCGUGCGAACGUUGUUCGGAUUCACUGGGCUUAAAGGGCGCGUAGGCGGCUCUUCAAGUCGGGGGUGAAAUCCUCUCGCUUAACGAGAGAAUUGCCUUCGAUACUGGAGAGCUGGAGGGAGAUAGGGGUGCGCGGAACUUCCGGUGGAGCGGUGAAAUGCGUAGAUAUCGGAAGGAACGCCGGUGGCGAAAGCGGCGCACUGGAUCUCUACUGACGCUGAGGCGCGAAAGCCAGGGGAGCAAACGGGAUUAGAUACCCCGGUAGUCCUGGCCCUAAACGAUGGGUACUAGGUAGUGGGCUUGCAUGGGCUCCCUGCCGGAGAGAAAUUCUUAAGUACCCCGCCUGGGGAGUAUGGUCGCAAGGCUGAA
rnacentral:rRNA from 1 species